rnacentral:rRNA from 1 species
GACGAACGCUGGCGGCGUGCCUAAUACAUGCAAGUAGGACGCAGUUGCGAACGGGAGAGUAACGCGUAGGUAACUACCUAUUAGAGGGGGAUAACUAUUGGAAACGAUAGCUAAUACCGCCUACACGUAGAAGGACGUGCGUUGUAUUAGCUAGUAGGUAGGGUAAUGGCCUACCUAGGCAACGAUACAUAGCCGACCGGAGGUGGUGAUCGGCCACCCUGGUACUGAGACACGGCCCAGACUCCGACGGGAGGCAGCAGUAGGGAAUCUUCGGCAAUGGGGGGAACCCUGACCAAGCAACGCCGCGUGAGUGAAGAAGGUUUUCGGAUCGUAAAGCUCUGUUGUUAAGGAAGCGGUACUUAACCAGAAAGGUACGGCUAACUACGUGCCAGCAGCCGCGGUAAUAC